AGCCCCGUCGUCUAGUGGCCAAGGAUACANNCCGGUUCGAAUCCGGGUGGGGCUA
rnacentral:tRNA from 1 species